rnacentral:rRNA from 1 species
UACGGAGGGUGCAAGCAUUAAUCGGAAUUAUUGGGCGUAAAGGGCGCGUAGGCGGCGCUAUAAGUCAGAUGUGAAAUCCCGGGGCUCAACCUCGGAACGGCAUUUGAAACUGUAGAGCUAGAGGAUAGGCGGAGGAAAUGGAAUUCCACAAGUAGCGGUGAAAUGCGUAGAUAUGUGGAAGAACACCGGUGGCGAAGGCGGUUUCCUAGCUUAUACCUGACGCUGAGGCGCGAAAGCAAGGGGAUCAAAC